AGUGAACGCUGGCGGUAGGCCUAACACAUGCAAGUCGAACGGCAGCACAGUAAUAUCUUGCUCUUACGGGUUUCGAGUGUCGGACGUUUGAGUUAUACAUCGUAAUCUACUUUUUCGUGUGGGAUAACGUAGGUAAACUUACGCUAAUACCGCAUACUACCUACGGUUGAAAUCAUUGGUUCUUCUUACCUUUCGCUAUUGUAUUAUCCGAUUUCGGAUUUGCUAGUUGGCUGGGUAAAGGCCCACCAAGGCGACGAUCCUUAGAUGGUCUGAGAGGAUGAGCAGAAAAACUGGAACUGAGACACGGAAAAGAGUCCGAAGGGAGGAAGAAGUGGGGAAUAUUGGAAAAUGGGGGAAAGCAUGAUACAGCAAGACCGCGUGGGUGAAGAAGGACUUCGGGUUGUAAAGACAUUUUGUUGGGAAAGAAAAGAAGCAGGUUAAUACCCCGAUGUAAUGACGGUACCCAAAGAAUAAGCACCGGCUAACUUCGUG
rnacentral:rRNA from 1 species